UAAAGAUUCAUCGGCUGCGGAUGGCCAUGCGGCGCAUUAGCUAGUCGGCGGGGUAACGGCCCACCGAGGCGACGAUGCGUAGGGGUUCUGAGAGGAAGGUCCCCCACACUGGUACUGAGACACGGACCAGACUCCUACGGGAGGCAGCAGUGAGGAAUAUUGGUCAAUGGCCGGGAGGCUGAACCAGCCAAGUCGCGUGAGGGAAGACGGCCCUACGGGUUGUAAACCUCUUUUGUCAGGGAGCAAGAGGCGGGUCGAGACCUGCUGUGAGAGUACCUGAAGAAAAAGCAUCGGCUAACUCCGUGCCAGCAGCCGCGGUAAUACGGAGGAUGCGAGCGUUAUCCGGAUUUAUUGGGUUUAAAGGGUGCGCAGGCGGAGGCACAAGUCAGCGGUAAAAUCGCGGGGCUCAACCCCGCUCCGCCGUUGAAACUGUGUCCCUUGAGUGCGCGAAGGGUAGGCGGAAUGCGUGGUGUAGCGGUGAAAUGCAUAGAUAUCACGCAGAACUCCGAUCGCGAAGGCAGCCUACCGGCGCGCAACUGACGCUCAUGCACGAAAGCGUGGGUAUCGAACAGGAUUAGAUACCCUGGUAGUCCACGCAAUAAACGAUGAAUGCUAUCUGUCCGGCCGGAAUGACGGCUGG
rnacentral:rRNA from 1 species